AUCUCAUUAGCUCAUCUGGAUAGAGCAGUGGUUUCCUAAACCAAAGGUGGUAGGUUCGAGUCCUACAUGGGGUA
rnacentral:tRNA from 1 species